GUUGCUCUCUGAGCCGAAUGAGAGCUCAUGCUAGACAAUGCGUACGCUCGACCUGACGUUUGGUACAUACUCAUGCUCGUCAUCUUCUCUUGCAGCGCUCUCAGCUCAAAGGUUAAAGACUCGCAAAGCCCAUCGCCCGACCGAGCAGACAGCGUCUCCGCCAAGUCCCUCUCGCUCUUCCUCAGAAGCUCACCUGCUGCUCUCACGUCGCCUCCAUCGGCUAAAGCCUUAGCUUCUGAAAUAGCUUGUGAAACAAGGAACCUGUUUCUCUGCCUAUCAACCUCUAUGGACACCACUUCUUCUCCCGUUAACUCGUUUGGCCUUUGGAUGAUUAGUUCCCCUGACUCCACACGGACUGUCUCUCUCGUGACCGGAUCUUUGUACACGCAUCGCACCUUGAGCAGCGACAUGGAUUCAGAUUCUUCGCAGCUCGGAAUCUCAAGAACCACGAGGAAGUCCCUCUCUUCCUCUGCGUACAUGUCUCCGACACUGAUCGUGGCGCUUCUUCCAUCAGACGAGACGCUGUUUCUGUAGCUUCCUGCUUUAACAGAGCAUAUCUUCACUCCCACCUCGUGAACGCACUCGAUCUCAACAACUUGCUCAAGAACCACAACGCUGAGAAGCCCUCCAAUGCACUGAGCAAACGCGUCGCGUAUCACAGUCUCCGUCUCGAUAAACGAGAACGUGCCGCUAGAGACUCGCGAAAUCGCGUGCAUCAGCUCAGCGUCGUGGUCAGAACCGAACCCAAAGGCAUGUAUCGGGAUCCUGCUAGUGGAGCUCGGAAGCAAAGCCUCGUAACUCGUUCUCUGACGGACACCGAACCCGAACUGAGAAAAAGUAAAGUUGUCCUGCCCAUCGGACAAAAGCAUCAUCACUGGAACAGGGCUUCUCCAUCUCCUGUCCUCGAUCACUCUAGCACCAAUCUUGAGCCCUUCUGCGAUAUUAGUGCAGCCGUCAGCAACCAAGGAGUUAACAGCUUGAACCGCCUCUCGUUUCCCCGCCGCAGACAUCACCUUAAGAGGGAAAAGCCUACGAGCAUCCGAGGAGAAAGCAACCACAGAGAGCCUAUCCGUUUCGCCGAGAUUCUGAAUCACAAACCCAACAGCGUUUUUCAAAAGCUCCAUCUUGGGCCCGUCCAUGCUACUACUCACGUCGAGAACCGCGACGAGAUCCAAAGGAGCACGAGAAGGCAUCUCCUCGUCGCCGCUCACAUCACCCGCCUUGAGAUGAACAAGAACAGCAAAAUCACCAAGCGUAACCUCUUUCGCCACAGCUGAGACUUGUGGGAGAAGUUUAACCUCCAGAGGAGGAGGCCCAGGCUGAUCACCAUGGGCCUGGGCUUGGGCCUGGGCUUGGGCCUGGGCCUGGGGUAAAGGCUCGUCGUCUUCAAAACUUAUUUGAGGAGCGGGGGAGGGAAGAGGCGGGACAGGGAGAGGGAUGUGGAAACGGGAGGGGGGACGAGUGUUAUCAAGAAACGAAGGGACUUGUUUCCACUGAGUUCUGCAGAGAGGACAGAUCUUGUUUCCGUGUUUCACGUUGGUGGUGAUACAGUCAAAAUGAAAAGUGUGAGAGCACUCCGCUGUGAAGAUCGCCUUCCCAUCUCCCUUCACAAUCUCAUCCAAGCAAAUCGCGCAUUCAUUCUGCAAAAUUUUAUUUAAAAAAAAACUAAUUUUAAACCAAAAAACCUAAAAUUACAUAAAAGAAGUUAGAGAGAUCGUGAGAGAGAGAACCUUGGAGGAAGAGGAAGGUGGAAGGAGAGGAGCUGACGGAUCGGUUAGUUAGUGACUACGAGUAUCAAUUGGCAAACAUGUCGGUGGAAGAUUCGCCGCACACAUUCAAAUUUAACUUAUAAAAUCAAAAAUGAUUUGGAUCAAAAUCUAAACAACCAUUAACACAAAGACGAUAAACGAAAUCCCAAAGUAAUAGUCGCGCAAAAAAAUUGAAGGGAAGAUGCGAUGAUGAUGAUGAUGAUGCUUACGGAGUUUUUGACGUAAUUAGAAGAUUACGAUUCUGAGUCACGCUCUCUCUCUCUGAUCUCGCGAGUUGUGCAACGUGGUGAGGGAGAGAGAGAGAGAGAGAUUCAGUAAGUGUGAAGAAGCACUGUGGAAGAGAACUCAGGUGAAUCCGAGCCGAUUCUUCGUGUUGUUUUCUUCUCAAGUUAAUUAAAGGGUCCAAUAAUAAUCUUUCUUUCUUUUUUUUUUGCACGGUUCUUCUUUUUCUUUAAAGUAAAAAGCUUACCUAAACUAUGUACACGUGGCUUCCUUUCUUGAUUUUUUUUAAAGUAUAAAAAUUCUCAUCUUUCUUUCUUGGUUUAGUAGUUCAGCAACAAUAAAUCUUUAACCGGUUAACCAAAGACGAAUCCGUUCCUAAAAGAUUAUAUUCUGGAAAAAAAAUUGUUUCAAUGUAUGAAUUUAUAAAAAAUUGUAAGUUUCAAAAAAGUUAAUGGUGUUUAUUAAAUUUUUAUUGGCUAAAAAUUAUGAAAAAUUAUUAUUCACAAAAAACAAUGCAUAUUUAAUGAGUUAUUUUAAUAUAUGUGAAAAGUCUAGAAUAUGCAUCUUUUAAAAAUAGAGGGAGUAUUAUUUUGCUGCUUAAAGGAAACACAAAUCAAACACACGGUGACUGAACCAACUCAAUCAUCAGUAAUCAAAACCCCAAAUCCAUUAUUAUUUUAAUAACUCUUUCUGUCAAAUUCAGGUUUGGUCUCCAGGAGCAGGGGACGUUGUUGGGCUUUGGAUCCCCAGUUGCUGAGACCGAGUCACCAUACGAGCCAUUGCUGACGUCUGAUAAGCCUGUGGCAACGGCAUGCUAUAUCCUGCUGUUCCUGGCGAGUACGUUGGCGAGAAGCCCGAGACUGUUGGAGAGUAACGAGCCGUUGCUCUCUGAGCCGAAUGAGAGCUCAUGCUAGACAAUGCGUACGCUCGACCUGACGUUUGGUACAUACUCAUGCUCGUCAUCUUCUCUUGCAGCGCUCUCAGCUCAAAGGUUAAAGACUCGCAAAGCCCAUCGCCCGACCGAGCAGACAGCGUCUCCGCCAAGUCCCUCUCGCUCUUCCUCAGAAGCUCACCUGCUGCUCUCACGUCGCCUCCAUCGGCUAAAGCCUUAG
rnacentral:lncRNA from 1 species